rnacentral:lncRNA from 1 species
CCUAACCCUAAACGUAAACCCUACCUAACCCUAAACCCUAUUUAACCUUAAACUCUACCAAACCUUAAACCCUACUUAACCCUAACCCUACAUAACCCUAAACCCUACUAACCUUUCCUAAGCUAAACCCUACCUAACCUAAAACGUUUCUAACCCUAAACCCUUUCUAGCCAUAAACCCUACCUAAUCCUAAACCCUACUAACCUUAAACCCUUUCAAACCCUAAACCCUAUCUAACCCUAAACCUACCUAAUCCUAAACCCUUACUAGCCCUAAACCCUACCUAACCCUAUAAACCCUACUAACCUUAAACCCUUUCAAACCCUAAACCCUAUCUAACCCUAAACCCUACCUAAUCC